GCUCAGGAUGAACGCCGGCGGUGUGCCUAAUACAUGCAAGUCGAACGCGUUGGCCCAAUUGAUUGAUGGUGCUUGCACCUGAUUGAUUUUGGUCGCCAACGAGUGGCGGACGGGUGAGUAACACGUAGGUAACCUGCCCAGAAGCGGGGGACAACAUUUGGAAACAGAUGCUAAUACCGCAUAACAACGUUGUUCGCAUGAACAACGCUUAAAAGAUGGCUUCUCGCUAUCACUUCUGGAUGGACCUGCGGUGCAUUAGCUUGUUGGUGGGGUAAUGGCCUACCAAGGCGAUGAUGCAUAGCCGAGUUGAGAGACUGAUCGGCCACAAUGGGACUGAGACACGGCCCAUACUCCUACGGGAGGCAGCAGUAGGGAAUCUUCCACAAUGGGCGCAAGCCUGAUGGAGCAACACCGCGUGAGUGAAGAAGGGUUUCGGCUCGUAAAGCUCUGUUGUUAAAGAAGAACACGUAUGAGAGUAACUGUUCAUACGUUGACGGUAUUUAACCAGAAAGUCACGGCUAACUACGUGCCAGCAGCCGCGGUAAUACGUAGGUGGCAAGCGUUAUCCGGAUUUAUUGGGCGUAAAGAGAGUGCAGGCGGUUUUCUAAGUCUGAUGUGAAAGCCUUCGGCUUAACCGGAGAAGUGCAUCGGAAACUGGAUAACUUGAGUGCAGAAGAGGGUAGUGGAACUCCAUGUGUAGCGGUGGAAUGCGUAGAUAUAUGGAAGAACACCAGUGGCGAAGGCGGCUACCUGGUCUGCAACUGACGCUGAGACUCGAAAGCAUGGGUAGCGAACAGGAUUAGAUACCCUGGUAGUCCAUGCCGUAAACGAUGAGUGCUAGGUGUUGGAGGGUUUCCGCCCUUCAGUGCCGGAGCUAACGCAUUAAGCACUACCGAC
rnacentral:rRNA from 2 species